UACGUAGGUGGCAAGCGUUGUCCGGAAUUAUUGGGCGUAAGGCGCGCGCAGGCGGUUCUUUAAGUCUGAUGUGAAAGCCCACGGCUCAACCGUGGAGGGUCAUUGGAAACUGGAGAACUUGAGUACAGAAGAGGAAAGCGGAAUUCCACGUGUAGCGGUGAAAUGCGUAGAGAUGUGGAGGAACACCAGUGGCGAAGGCGGCUUUCUGGUCUGUAACUGACGCUGAGGCGCGAAAGCGUGGGGAGCAAACAGG
rnacentral:rRNA from 1 species